rnacentral:rRNA from 1 species
CACCGGUUCAAGGAGUUGCGAACGGGUGAGUAACGCGUAGGUAACCUACCUCAUAGCGGGGGAUAACUAUUGGAAACGAUAGCUAAUACCGCAUAAGAGAGACUAACGCAUGUUAGUAAUUUAAAAGGGGCAAUUGCUCCACUAUGAGAUGGACCUGCGUUGUAUUAGCUAGUUGGUGAGGUAAAGGCUCACCAAGGCGACGAUACAUAGCCGACCUGAGAGGGUGAUCGGCCACACUGGGACUGAGACACGGCCCAGACUCCUACGGGAGGCAG